rnacentral:rRNA from 1 species
UACGAAGGUGGCGAGCGUUGUUCGGAAUCACUGGGCAUAAAGCGCACGUAGGCGGUUACGUAAGUCGGGUGUGAAAUCCCUCGGCCUAACCGAGGAACUGCGCCCGAUACUGCGUUGCUUGAGGACCAGAGGGGUGCAUGGAAUUUCCGGUGGAGCGGUGAAAUGCGUUGAUAUCGGAAGGAACUCCGGCGGCGAAAGCGAUGCACUGGCUGGUUUCUGACGCUGAGGUGCGAAAGCCAGGGGAGCAAACGGG